rnacentral:rRNA from 1 species
GACGAAGGGGGCUAGCGUUGUUCGGAAUUACUGGGCGUAAAGCGCGUGUAGGCGGUUGCCCAAGUCGGGUGUGAAAGCCUUGAGCUCAACUCAAGAAAUGCACUCGGUACUGGGUGACUAGAGGACCGGAGAGGAUAGUGGAAUUCCCAGUGUAGUGGUGAAAUACGUAGAGAUUGGGAAGAACACCAGUGGCGAAGGCGGCUAUCUGGACGGUUUCUGACGCUAAGACGCGAAAGCGUGGGGAGCAACAGG